UAUUUGUGUUUGAGGGGAAUGAAUAUAUAUAUAUAUAUAUAUAUAUUCAUUCCCCUCAAACACAAAUA